AUGAGGUACAGCGGCGGCGGCUCCAGCGGCGUGUUGUCACUCAGGAGGACUCGGGGAGAGUUGUAGCGUCUCUGCUGCCUCAAGAGAUCUAAAGCUUGUUUUUUAAAAUGUCUGCCUGAAUGAGUUUAAUAAUAAGAGAAUUUAUUGAAUCUUCUGGCAAACUCCUUUGAUCCAUGUUGGAAGACUGGAUGCCACGAAGGAACCCCAUUAAUGGGAAAAAUGUUGGAAAGCGUUUUCCUGAACUUCAGGUGAAAAGUCUUAUGGAUUUGGUGGGAAAGAUGGUAACUUUCAACCUGUAGUUUCAUUUAUGCUUUGCAAAUUAUUUGCUGCAAAAGUAAAGAGGUUUUGAACAAAACUUUAUA